rnacentral:rRNA from 1 species
UACGAAGGGGGCUAGCGUUGCUCGGAAUCACUGGGCGUAAAGCGCACGUAGGCGGACUCUUAAGUCGGUGGUGAAAUCCUGGAGCUCAACUCCAGAACUGCCUUUGAUACUGAGAGGCUUGAGUCCGGGAGAGGUGAGUGGAACUGCGAGUGUAGAGGUGAAAUUCGUAGAUAUUCGCAAGAACACCAGUGGCGAAGGCGGCUCACUGGCCCGGUACUGACGCUGAGGUGCGAAAGCGUGGGGAGCAAACAGG